rnacentral:rRNA from 1 species
UACGUAGGGUGCGAGCGUUAAUCGGAAUUACUGGGCGUAAAGCGUGCGCAGGCGGUUUUGUAAGCCAGAUGUGAAAUCCCCGGGCUUAACCUGGGAAUGGCAUUUGGGACUGCAAGGCUUGAGUGCGGCAGAGGAGACUGGAAUUCCUGGUGUAGCAGUGAAAUGCGUAGAUAUCAGGAGGAACACCGGUGGCGAAGGCGGGUCUCUGGGCCGAUACUGACGCUGAGGAGCGAAAGCGUGGGGAGCAAACAGG